UACGAAGGGGGCUAGCGUUGCUCGGAAUCACUGGGCGUAAAGCGCACGUAGGCGGACUCUUAAGUCGGUGGUGAAAUCCUGGAGCUCAACUCCAGAACUGCCUUCGAUACUGAGAGUCUCGAGUCCGGGAGAGGUGAGUGGAACUGCGAGUGUAGAGGUGAAAUUCGUAGAUAUCUGGAGGAAUACCGGUGGCGAAGGCGGCAUCCUGGACCGGCAUUGACGCUGAGGAGCGAAAGCUAGGGGAGCAAACGGG
rnacentral:rRNA from 1 species